rnacentral:rRNA from 1 species
CCUACGGGAGGCAGCAGUGGGGAAUAUUGCACAAUGGGGGAAACCCUGAUGCAGCGACGCCGCGUGAGUGAAGAAGUAAUUCGUUAUGUAAAGCUCUAUCAGCAGGGAAGAAAAUGACGGUACCAGAGUAAGAAGCCCCGGCUAACUACGUGCCAGCAGCCGCGGUAAUACGGGGGGGGCAAGCGUUAUCCGGAUUUACUGGGUGUAAAGGGGGCGUAGACGGCAGUGCAAGUCUGGAGUGAAAGGCGGGGGCUCAACCCCCGGACUGCUCCGGAAACUGGACGGCUGGAGUGGAGGAGAGGGAAGUGGAAUUCCUAGUGUAGCGGUGAAAUGCGUAGAUAUUAGGAGGAACACCAGUGGCGAAGGCGGCGUACUGGACUGUAACUGACGUUGAGGCUCGAAAGCGUGGGGAGCAAACAGGAUUAGAUACCCUAGUAGUC